UACGUAGGGGGCAAGCGUUGUCCGGAAUCAUUGGGCGUAAAGCGCGUGUAGGCGGCUGGCUAAGUCCGCUCUGAAAGCCCGGGGCUCAACCCCGGGAGGCGGGUGGAUAUUGGUCAGCUCGAGUCCGGAAGAGGAGUGUGGAAUUCCUGGUGUAGCGGUGAAAUGCGCAGAUAUCAGGAGGAACACCAAUGGCGAAGGCAGCACUCUGGGACGGUACUGACGCUGAGACGCGAAAGCGUGGGGAGCAAACAGG
rnacentral:rRNA from 1 species